rnacentral:rRNA from 1 species
GACGAACGCUGGCGGCGCGCCUAACACAUGCAAGUCGAACGAGCGAGAGAGAGCUUGCUUUCUCAAGCGAGUGGCGAACGGGUGAGUAACGCGUGAGGAACCUGCCUCAAAGAGGGGGACAACAGUUGGAAACGACUGCUAAUACCGCAUAAGCCCACGACCCGGCAUCGGGUAGAGGGAAAAGGAGCAAUCCGCUUUGAGAUGGCCUCGCGUCCGAUUAGCUAGUUGGUGAGGUAAUGGCCCACCAAGGCGACGAUCGGUAGCCGGACUGAGAGGUUGAACGGCCACAUUGGGACUGAGACACGGGCCCAAAACUCCUACGGGAGGCAGCAGUGGGGAAUAUUGGGCAAUGGAGGGAAACUCUGACCCAGCAACGCCGCGUGGAGGAAGAAGGUUUUCGGAUCGUAAACUCCUGUCCUUGGAGACGAGUAGAAGACGGUAUCCAAGGAGGAAAGGCCCCCCGGGAC